ACGGCCCCGUGGUUGGCGCCCUACUAGCCGGCGCUGUUCCCCGCGGGUAUUCCUCGGCGGUAGUUUCGCGAUACUGAAACAGUUUUGCUGUGUGGCUUUGUUGUAGACUCUUUAAGAAUGUUUCGAAUCUCUCUGGCCAGCUGCAAGGCAGGACUGUCUGGGCUGCGCUCUGGUCACCGGUAUGCCUCAGUAGCCACCACCAAGCUAUUCAUCAAUGGACAAUUUGUGGAAAGCUCCACAUCUGAUUGGAUUGACUUGCAUAACCCAGCCACCAAUGAGGUGGUCACGCGUGUGCCCAAGGCCACCCAUGCCGAGAUGA